CCUACGGGUGGCUGCAGUAGGGAAUAUUGGACAAUGGGCGAAAGCCUGAUCCAGCCAUGCCGCGUGAUAGAUGAAGGCCCUCUGGGUUGUAAAUAUCUUUUAUCUGGGAAGAAACAAUCUUCUUCUUAAGAUCUUGACGGUACCAGAGGAAUAAGCACCGGCUAACUCCGUGCCAGCAGCCGCGGUAAUACGGAGGGUGCAAGCGUUAUGCGGUUUCAGGGUGUGUAAGGGGUCCGAUAAGGCACUGGUGAAAGCUUCGAGCUUAACUUGGAAACUGCCAUUGAUACUGCCAGUCUUGAAUGUCGUAGAGGUAAGCGGAAUGUUGCAUGUAGCGGUGAAAUGCUUAGAUAUGUUACAGAACACCAAUUGCGAAGGCAGCUUACUAUGCGAUGAUUGACGCUGAGGCACGAAAGCGUGGGGAGCAAACAGGAUUAGAUACCCCUGUAGUC
rnacentral:rRNA from 1 species